GAUGAACGCUGGCGGCGUGCCUAAUACAUGCAAGUCGAGCGAACAGACGAGGAGCUUGCUCCUUCGACGUUAGCGGCGGACGGGUGAGUAACACGUAGGUAACCUACCUAUAAGACUGGUAUAACUUCGGGAAACCGGAGCUAAUACCGGAUAAUAUUUCGAACCGCAUGGUUCGAUAGUGAAAGAUGGCUUUGCUAUCACUUAUAGAUGGACCUGCGCCGUAUUAGCUAGUUGGUAAGGUAACGGCUUACCAAGGCAACGAUACGUAGCCGACCUGAGAGGGUGAUCGGCCACACUGGAACUGAGACACGGUCCAGACUCCUACGGGAGGCAGCAGUAGGGAAUCUUCCGCAAUGGGCGAAAGCCUGACGGAGCAACGCCGCGUGAGUGAUGAAGGUCUUCGGAUCGUAAAACUCUGUUAUUAGGGAAGAACAAACGUGUAAGUAACUGUGCACGUCUUGACGGUACCUAAUCAGAAAGCCACGGCUAACUACGUG
rnacentral:rRNA from 1 species